rnacentral:rRNA from 1 species
AUGGCGCUCUUCUCUGAUGAUGAUGCGUCCCAAUAUCAAAUUAGGAGCAGCAAGAAUAUGACCUACAAGGUGAGAGGGGACAUGAAGAAGCUCCUCCCAGUCACCACCUUCUUCCUCGGCGCGGCGUUGACAGCGGCGUUGGUCUUCCUCAAUGCUACACUGGAUGGGAACUGGCGGCCCUCCGCCCUGGCCUCAUGGGGCACUGGUACUCAGCCAGCCUCCAACCCCAAGACGAAAGCAUUGACAGAACUGGCAGAGGUGCUGAAGAACGCAUCCAUGGAGGACGGCACGGUGAUCAUGACGUCCAUCAACAAGGCGUACGCUGCUCCGGGGUCCCUCCUGGACCUCUUUCUUGAGAGCUUCCGGGUGGGCGAGGGCACGGCGCACCUGCUGGACCACGUCCUCAUUGUGGCCGUCGACCCCGGCGCGCUCCGGCGGUGCCGGUCGGUGCACCGGCACUGCUACCUCCUCCGUCGCUCCCCGGGCGCCGUGGACUACAGCGGCGAGAAGCACUUCAUGACCAAGGACUACCUGGACAUGAUGUGGGGCAGGAACCGGUUCCAGCAGACCAUCCUCGAGCUCGGCUUCAACUUCCUCUUCACGGACAUCGACAUCAUGUGGUUCCGGAACCCGCUGCGGCACAUCGCCAUCACGUCGGACGUGGCCAUCGCGAGCGACUUCUUCAACGGGGACCCGGAGAGCAUGGGGAACCGGCCCAACGGCGGGUUCCUGUACGUGCGGUCGGCGAACCGGACGGUGGAGUUCUACCGGCGGUGGCGGCGCGCGCGGCGCAGGUUCCCGGCGGGGACCAACGAACAGGAGAUCCUGGGGCGGGCGCAGGGGGAGCUGAGCCGGCGCUCCGGCGUGCGGAUGCAGUUCCUGGACACGGCCCACUGCGGGGGCUUCUGCCAGCUGAGCGGCGACAUGGGCAGGGUGUGCACGCUGCACGCCAACUGCUGCACCGGCCUCGCCAACAAGGUGCACGACCUCAGGAACGUGCUCAGGGACUGGAGGAACUACACGGCGGCGCCGCCCGAGGACCGGCGCGUGGGAGGCUUCCAAUGGACCAGGCCCGGCAGGUGCAUCCGCUGA